UCCUACGGGAGGCAGCAGUGAGGAAUAUUGGUCAAUGGAGGCAACUCUGAACCAGCCAAGUCGCGUGAGGAUGAAGGUCUUAUGGAUUGUAAACUUCUUUUGCAAGGGAAUAAAGUGGGGGACGUGUCCUCCUUUGCAUGUACCUUGCGAAUAAGGAUCGGCUAACUCCGUGCCAGCAGCCGCGGUAAUACGGAGGAUCCGAGCGUUAUCCGGAUUUAUUGGGUUUAAAGGGUGCGCAGGCGGGAUGUUAAGUCGGCGGUGAAAUUUUGCAGCUCAACUGUAAAAGUGCCUUCGAUACUGGCUUUCUUGAGUGUGGAUGAAGUAGGCGGAAUUUGUGGUGUAGCGGUGAAAUGCUUAGAUAUCACGAGGAACUCCGAUUGCGCAGGCAGCUUACUAAACCACUACUGACGCUCAUGCACGAAGGCGUGGGGAUCAAACAGGAUUAGAUACCCUGGUAGUCCACGCAGUAAACGAUGAUUACUAGUUGUUUGCGAUACAAUGUAAGCGACUGAGCGAAAGCGUUAAGUAAUCCACCUGGGGAGUACGUUCGCAAGAAUGAAACUCAAAG
rnacentral:rRNA from 1 species